rnacentral:rRNA from 1 species
AGUUUUGGACCAUGGGGGAAACCCUGAUCCAGCCAUCCCGCGUGUAUGAUGAAUGACUUCGGGUUGUAAAUUACUUUUGGCAGAGAACAAAAGGUAUCUCCUAAUACGAGAUACUGCUGACGGUAUCUGCAGAAUAAGCACCGGCUAACAACGUGCCAGCAGCCCCGGUAAUGCGUAGGGUGCAAGCGUUAAUCGGAAUUACUGGGCGUAAAGCGUGUGUAGGCGGGUCGGAAAGAAAGAUGUGAAAUCCCAGGGAUCAACCUUGGAAAUGCAUUUUUAACUGCCGAGCUAGAGUAGGUCAGAGGGGGGUAGAAUUCCACGUGUAGCAGUGAAAUGCGUAGAUAUGUGGAGGAAUACCGAUGGCGAAGGCAGCCCCCUGGGAUAAUGCUGACGCUCAGACACGAAAGCGUGGGGAGCAAACAG